AUUGAACGCUGGCGGCAUGCCUUACACAUGCAAGUCGAACGGCAGCACGGGGGCAACCUUGGUGGCGAGUGGCGAACGGGUGAGUAAUAUAUCGGAACGUGCCCUAGAGUGGGGGAUAACGUAGCGAAAGUUACGCUAAUACCGCAUACGAUCUACGGAUGAAAGUGGGGGACCGCAAGGCCUCAUGCUCGUGGAGCGGCCGAUAUCUGAUUAGCUAGUUGGUGGGGUAAAGGCCUACCAAGGCGACGAUCAGUAGCUGGUCUGAGAGGACGACCAGCCACACUGGGACUGAGACACGGCCCAGACUCCUACCGGAGGCAGCAGUGGGGAAUUUUGGACAAUGGGGGCAACCCUGAUCCAGCAAUGCCGCGUGAGUGAAGAAGGCCUUCGGGUUGUAAAGCUCUUUUGUCAGGGAAGAAACUGUGAGGGCUAAUAUCCUUUGCUAAUGACGGUACCUGAAGAAUAAGCACCGGCUAACUACGUGCCAGCCGCCGCCGUAA
rnacentral:rRNA from 1 species